GCCGAAGGGAAAGGGGGUCUUCCGGUUAGGGUUUUGGUUGUUAUUGUUGAGUGCAAUGCAUUUUUUUCCCUAGUUGCGAUAAUUGCGACUUCACCGUGGCAAUCCGAAGCGCAUUUGCUAGGAAGUGAAUCGAGUUGAAAAUGGGGCUUUUUUGCAAGCUAUAUGAGUGGAGGGGAAGCCAGCAAUUUAUGGAAGGAAUAAGAGGAUGCAUCUGUUUCCGGAGUUAGACUGAUCAUCUCAACAGGCUCAAGUUUUCACUUUUGAAAUAGGUCAUUUAUUCUUCCAGUCCAUGUGGUCUGCAGCCAGGGAACAUGGUCUGUCUAGACCAGGGGUCUGCAACCUGUGGCUCUCCAGAUGUUCAUGGACUACAAUUCCCAUCAGCCCCU